GAGAGAGCACAAACAGAGGAGAGGCAGAGAGAGAAUCCCAAGCAGCACAGAGCUGGAUGCGGGGGUUUUAACUCAUGAAUCAUGAGAUCGUGACCUGAGCAGAAAUCAAGAGUCAGAGGCUUAACCGAUUGAGCCACCCAGGCGCCCCUUGAAAUGGAGUUGUUAAGCAACAAGAGAUACUGGAAGCUAUUUGUGUUAAUUCUCACUUCACACAUGGGCAAAGGGGCCCAAGAGAGAUUAGGUGUCUUGGCCUAGGUGACACAGUUAGCAAAAUCCAGGUAAUCCAACUUUCAUUAAUAAACAUAAGCACUCUGUCAGGCAUUGUACAAAGUUCACUCUACCCUGCCAUGUGAUAAGAUAAAUCCAUUAGCAAUCUCUAGAGGUUUCUAAAGAGUUUUUGAUAGAAGCUAGAAAUUUAGUAAAAUAUUUUUAACACAGCAUGAAAGACAGGUUAGCAGCCUUAUAAAACAUAUCUUCAUACAACUGUCUGAGACAAAGACAGGAUAGACUAUUAGGUAGUAUUCAUAUUUGAUCACCCUUAUUUAAUGCUUGGUACUUGUAAAGCUGCUAGAAAUGAAGAAAUAAAUAUCUACCUUUUUGAUAUCUAUGUGACAGCUCUCUAUCAGCACAAAUAAACAGCAGUUAAUGAUUCACCCACUGUCAUCCCUGGGUUAUGUGCAGACAUGGAGGUGUGGCCUCAAAGACUGAUAAGACAUUUUAUUUUUCUCCUGUGUUAUAUCCUUGUAAUUAGAUAGGACUAUGUACACUGAAGCUUGGAAAAUCCAUAGUACUUUAAUGAAGUUUGCUAUGAUAUAUGUUCUUUAGUUGUCAUUUCGGAAUUUUUUCCUAGACCCUGUUCCUCCCAUUAGAAGUAUCUUUAGAAAAGCCUCAUUUUUUGCUGGAUUUUAUAGAUUCAGAUUUUAUGAAGAUUCAGCCCCAAAGCUCCUUUUUUAUUUUCACCUUUGAAGAACACUUUAAAGCAAAUAUAAUAAUAUAAAUUAAAUUAUAGGGAAAAGGUUUAAACUCAUCACAAAAACAGUUUUCUAACAUCUUGGAAGUAUAUAUCUUCGUAUAAGCAACUGUCAUGCUAUCAUAAAACUGUUCCUACCUGUUGGAUAGGGAUCUUGAAAAACAAGAUAGUAUAACUUAAGUAUUCUACAACUCUUCUCAGAAAUGAUGGUGGAAACUGAGUAAGCUCUUGAAAUCUCAUUAUACAGUAAGUUUUCUUUUUGAUUAUUUUUGUAGGACUGACCUUAUUCAUUUGACAAGUAUUUUUCAGCAUCUACAGUGUGCCAAGCGCAGGGCCAGGAGAUGUGAAGACGAGUAAGACCGUCUUCACCUUCAAAGACAUGCAUGACUAUGCUCAUGGCUCUGCAGCGGUUUUACUCGACCAGGAAUAAUAACAGAAGGAAAUUGACAUAGAUGAUCACUCCAUCCCUUUGGAGACCAUACUUCUCACCAAAAAACCUGGGGCUGAUACAUGCAAAGGGACAGUCCUUCCCAGUGCCAAAAGAGAGCAUUAGAGCCCAAGUCACCACUUCUCCAUGCUCCUGCUCUUGAGGCUGGAUCCAUGGAGUUACAGUUCUUGGGGAGUAAGACCACAGAGACUGAGCUGAAGAGAAAGGAGAGACGUCAAGAGAGGAGAGAACAGGGGCCUUGAUGAACAGGAGGAUGUGACCAGGCAGAAGAAGGGAUGGCCACCAUGGAAGAAAAAAAGCCAGCAGGGAAAUAAAAGGUAUGCCUCAAGCAAGGCAAAGUGGGUUAUUCCAGUAAAAAGGUUCAUAGAACAUGUAUGCAGAAAUGUAACAACUAUGCCCACGUAUGUCCUGGCCUGGAUCUGUGGGAUGUCUGGGGAGAAGCCGUGUGUGUGUGUGUGUGUGAGAGAGAGAGACAGAGACAGAGACAGAGACAGAGACAGAGAGAGACAGAGAGGGAGAGAGAGAAAUCUCCUAACUUUAAAAUGUUGGCUCUUACCUGUAGAAGUAGCCAAUGGAGGACAAAAAGCAUCUGCCAACAGCCGGGUUGCAAGCAUCUGUUGGGAAAAUUUCAGUUUUUUCCUUAAAAAAAUGAUUUUUCUAGUUCACAUUCAUUAGGAUGGCUAUCACCAAAAAAUUGGAAAGUAGUCCGUGUUGGCCAGGAUGUGGAGAAAUAGGAACCCCUGUGCACUGUUUGUGGGAACGUAAAAUGGUACAGCCACUUGGAAAACAGUUCGGCAGUUCCUCCAAAAGUUAAAUUGCAUGGAAAUACAAUACGAUCCAGAAAUUUUACUUCUAGGUAUAUCCUCAAAAGAGUUAAAAGCAGGAAGUCGUAUACUUACAUAUUCACUGUUCAUAGCAGCAUUACUUACAAGAGCCAAAAGGUAGACAUAAUCUAAGUGCCCAUCACCAGAUGAAUGGCUAAACAAAAUGUACAUACCGUGGAAUAUCAGUCAGCCUUCAAAUGUAAUGAAAUUCUGACACAUGAAUGAACCUUGAAGGCAUUGUGGUAAGCGAAAUAAACCAGACUCAAAAGGAUAAAUAGUGUAUGAUUCUGCUUCUCUGAGGUGCCCAGAAUAGGCAAAUUCAUAGGGACAGAGAGCAGGAAACAGAACACUGGGGACAAGGAGGAAGCAAUGAAGAAUCGUCGUUUAAUGGGUACAGAAUGUUGGUUUGGAAAGAUGAAAUAGUCCUGUAAGUGGAUAGUGUGAUGUUUGUACAUAGUGUGAAGAUAUUAAUGCCACUGAACUAUGUACUUAAAAUGGUAAAUUUUAUGUUAUUUACAUUAUUUAUUUUAAUUAUUUAAGUUUAUCUUUUUUGAGAGAGAGAACAUGCACAAGCAGGGAGGGGCAGAGAGAGAGGGAGAGAGAGAGAAUCCCAAGCAGCCUCAACACUGCAAGUGCAGAGCCCGAUGUGGGGCUCGAACUCACAAACCGUGAGAUCACAACCUGAGC